rnacentral:rRNA from 1 species
GGUCCUACGGGGGGCAGCAGUGGGGAAUAUUGCACAAUGGGCGAAAGCCUGAUGCAGCAACGCCGCGUGAAGGAAGAAGGGUUUCGGCUCGUAAACUUUUAUCAACAGGGACGAAAGAAAUGACGGUACCUGAAUAAGAAGCCCCGGCCAACUACGUGCCAGCAGCCGAGGUAAUACGUAGGGGGCAAGGGAUAUCCGGAAUUACUGGGGGUAAAGGGUGAGUAGGCGGCAUGG